GCUCGAGUGUCUAGUUGAGUGU
rnacentral:siRNA from 1 species